rnacentral:tRNA from 1 species
CACUAGAAAGCUAAUUUGGUGUAAGCGUUAGCCUUUUAAGCUAAAAUUUGGUGGGUACCUCCCGCCUCUAGUGAU